UGAAGCCUGUGCCCUCGAUGUCGGAACCAGGGUGACGUGACGUGGGGCAGGGGGAGGAGAGCGACUACCCCAGGACUGAAUCCCAGUGAAAGACUCGGUCUUCGAGGGGCAUCUUCACGAAGAACGAUACAAACAUGACCCAGGUCCUCCUCGGACCCAAAGCUCUGCGUCCAAGGGAACCUCCAUCUCCUCCCAGGGUGGCAGCCUGCACCCACACUUACCUGCUUCAGAAACUCUCAGGUUCAGAAACCGAGGCACAGGCAAGCCAUGUGACUAGUUCAAAGUUACCGGUAACAAUUAGUGAAACCGAGAUUGAACCUCAGGCUGUCAGAACCCAUCGGCAUAACGGUGACACUCUUCUGCUCUGCUUCUGUUUGUUCCCAUGCUAGUAAGACAUAUGGGCGCAUGAGCAAAGCAAAUGUAUGGGUUUGCUGAUCCAUCCUGCAGGCGUCCAGCCUGGCCUUUUGUUCCUUCUCAGGCAAGACACACAGCACGCCACAGGCCUGCUGCUCAGGACCGCCGCCCGCAAGACCGCAGCUGAGACUCAGGUGUGACAGAAGCAGUGUCGCCCCUCUCAGCCCAGACAGCUCAGCGGGAGCAGGCUGCUCUUUGGAGGUGACCACAUGACGUGGGGGGAGGGAUAGAGAGAGAGGCAGAAAAGACAGAGGGAUUGAGAUGGAGAUUAGAGACCUAGCUCGGGGCAGACUCUAAGGAAUCUUGACAUUUUGUGUGCCAAGGACACAGCAAGAAGGAUGCCCAUGGCAGGGGUGCCCUGGGGCUUGUUCCUGAAGCAGAUGGCCCUGCCAGGCCCGGGCCGGGGCAUCGCCCCCUCUGACUCCUGGCUGGCUGCCCGCCCAGGGUUAGUAGACAUUCAUUCUUUGUCUUCCCUAGUAAUGGCUCUGAUUUUAAACUUGGAAUCAG